rnacentral:tRNA from 1 species
GGUAGAACAGCUCAGUGGUAGAGCCCAUGCUUAGCAUGCAUGAGGUCCUAGGUUCAAUCUCCAGUACUUCCA